AACGAACGCUGGCGGCAUGCCUAACACAUGCAAGUCGAACGAGACCUUCGGGUCUAGUGGCGCACGGGUGCGUAACGCGUGGGAACCUGCCCUUAGGUUCGGAAUAACUCCCCGAAAGGGGUGCUAAUACCGGAUAAUGUCUUCGGACCAAAGAUUUAUCGCCUUUGGAUGGGCCCGCGUUGGAUUAGCUAGUUGGUAGGGUAAAAGCCUACCAAGGCGACGAUCCAUAGCUGGUCUGAGAGGAUGAUCAGCCACACUGGGACUGAGACACGGCCCAGACUCCUACGGGAGGCAGCAGUGGGGAAUAUUGGACAAUGGGCGAAAGGCUGAUCCAGCAAUGCCGGGUGAGUGAUGAAGGCAUUAGGGUUGUAAAGCUCUUUUACCCGGGAUGAUAAUGACAGUACCGGGAGAAUAAGCUCCGGCUAACUCCGUG
rnacentral:rRNA from 1 species